UACGAAGGGGGCUAGCGUUGUUCGGAAUCACUGGGCGUAAAGGGCGCGUAGGCGGCCGAUUAAGUCGGGGGUGAAGGCCUGUGGCUCAACCACAGAAUUGCCUUCGAUACUGAUUGGCUUGAGACCGGAAGAGGUAAGUGGAACUGCGAGUGUAGAGGUGAAAUUCGUAGAUAUUCGCAAGAACACCAGUGGCGAAGGCGGCUUACUGGUCCGGUUCUGACGCUGAGGCGCGAAAGCGUGGGGAGCAAACAGG
rnacentral:rRNA from 1 species